rnacentral:ncRNA from 1 species
UUAUCCCCAAGGAUUGAGUUUUUUUAACCCCUGACAAGGGAAAGGUGAGGCUGGGUUUAACCCGUUCUGAAACAAGGUUAUUUUUUUCCUUAUAAUGACAAAAACAUUUGUGGAGAAAGCAUUCCUGCGUAGUACGAGAGGAACCGCAGGUACGGACCAAUGGCACAAUACUUGUUCGAGCGAACAGUGGUAUGACGCUACGUCCGUUGGAUUAUGCCUGAACGCCUCUAAGGUCGUAUCCGUGCUGGACUGCAAUGAUAAAUAAGGGGCAAUUUGCAUUGUAUGGCUUCUAAACCAUUAAAAGUUUUUAAUUUGUUUUAUUAACGACAAUGGAUGUGAUGCCAAUGUUAUUUAUAACAUAGUAAAUUGGGAGGAUCUUCGAUCACCUGAUGCCGCGCUAGUUAUAUUUUAAAACAUUAUUUAAUACAAUGUCAAAGCCUAGAAUCAAUUGUAAACGACUUUUGUAACAGGCAAGGUGUUGUAAGUGGUUGAGCAGCUGCCAUACUGCGAUCCACUGAAGCUUAUCCUUUGCUUGAUGAUUCGA